rnacentral:rRNA from 1 species
UACGUAGGGUGCGAGCGUUAAUCGGAAUUACUGGGCGUAAAGCGUGCGCAGGCGGUUAUGUAAGUCAGAUGUGAAAGCCCCGGGCUCAACCUGGGAAUUGCAUUUGAGACUGCGUAGCUAGGGUGCGGAAGAGGGAAGCGGAAUUUCCGGUGUAGCGGUGAAAUGCGUAGAUAUCGGAAGGAACACCAGUGGCGAAAGCGGCUUCCUGGUCCAGCACCGACGUUCAGGCACGAAAGCGUGGGGAGCAAACAGG